GAAUGGGUGUUUUGACAUAACCUUGGUGUGUGUUUGAUUGUGCUAAGCCCAGAGAGUAUACUGAAGUAAUAACCCAUUUAGGAGAUCAAUAUUUGCUGAUGGAAAUGCUCCUUGAAGUUUUACUAGUGAUCCUACAGCUGCAACUCACAUCUGUGAGUGGUCAACAGUUGAAACAGAGUCCUCAGACUAUAACCACGCAGGAAGGAAAGGACGUUUCCAUGAACUGCAGUGCUUCAACAACAUUAAACUACUUUCUAUGGUACAAGCAAUACCCUGGAGAAGCUCCUGUCCUCUUGAUAACUAUAUAUAAGAGUGAUGAAUUGAUAACAAGUGGAAAAGUGGCUGCCUGGUCAGAUGAAACAAGGAAGAACAGUUUCCUGAGCAUUCCAGCCUCCAAGCUUGAUGAUGUAGGAACCUACUACUGUGCUGGGCAGCACAGUGCUCCACAAGCACCUGCAGCCUGUCCUCGAACUUCAAGCUGUGACUCCAGAAAUGCACUUCCUCCAGCUCCUGCUGCUUUACAUAUGCAGUGCGAUGAUGCAGACAACCUGUGUAACCUACCAUUCCGCUACUAAAAGUCCUCUGUCCUC